AAAAAAUUAGUUAAAUUAUAACAUUAGUAUGUCAAACUAAAAUUAUCAUAAAAAAUGGUAUUUUUUA
rnacentral:tRNA from 1 species